rnacentral:lncRNA from 1 species
GCCAGAAGAAGAAACUUUCAACCGACCGCGGCCCACAGUCCUUCGGGUCACCGCGUGACAGCCCACAGUCCUUCGGGUCACUGCCACAUUACACCGUCGUGUAAUCACUCAGCCAUAGGCCAUGAUCCCGUCUCUCUGAGUCUUCCCGAUCCAGCGAAUAAGGGGUUUCCUUGAACCCACUGAAUACGAGGGCGAGGAAACACUAGUCCACCCCAAACAUGCCUAGCAUGGGCGGGUUUCGCACCUGCU